GCAAGUUUACCACCACAGACAAAACAAACAUGUGGAGCUGCUUAUGUGAUGCAAAUAUCAAAAUUUGUCAUUGUUGCCAGGGAGACGGAUGACAUCAGGGAAUGACAUCGCAUCACUUCCUGCGGCCACCGACAAGCUUUAAUUAUCACUAGUGAACGCUGGAUCUGGAGACAGACAGGACAAGCUGAAUUCAUGCUCAACAUGAUCAAGCAAUCAAAAGAAAUAUAUUUUCUUUGCAUAAGGGCAUAGAGAUGAACCGACCCAGACGACGUAUCAUCCCAGAUGACCCCCAAAACAGCAACAACAAGCCCUAAUUAAACCAUUAAAUCAUCUUCACAAACCAACACAAACUGUGAGGCUUUCACUUUCUUGAGUUUGUUACCUGAAACACUACAUCCAUCAGAGAUCACACAUGAGUAUGAACAGCAGUAAUAUUAACAGAUGAA
ensembl:lncRNA